rnacentral:lncRNA from 1 species
CCCGGCUUUGCGUGGCGAUACAAAGCAGCACCUGCUGGGUGGGAGGUGCAGAGGUGGCCAAGUGCUGGGAGGCUGGCUGGGAAUGGGGGGUGGCUCUGAAAUGAGGGGCUGGAGGCUGGUUUUUCCCUCUUUGCAGAAAGAGGUGGAGGUCAGGAGCUGCAGGCAGGAGCGGAUUCGCUGCGUCCACAUCCCCGUCAGCCAGCUCCUGCAGCCGUUCGGGGCAGGCACGGAGAUCGGCUACAAAGCACCGUGGCCCUCGUCCCAGGAACGGCGAGGAGAAUUUAUGAAAUGGACGUGAAAGGCAAACAGGGCCUUGGAAGUUUUCCCCAGCGUGAGAGAAGCUCUUGAAGUUUAUUCACAUAACAGCCAUCUUAUUAAAGAGUGUCUUGGAGAACUUUGAACAGCUUUCUAUAUGGAAACAAAUCUGCCUCUAUAGCAGCAGUUUUCUGUGUUUCUUUUGAUAACGAUAAUGAUCUUACAUUUCUGUGCUGCCUUUCAUCUUGCCGGAUCUUAAUGAGCUUUACAGACAAAUGUGCAAGCUAUACGCAAAGAUCAAUUCG